ACCUAGAGGCAUAUAUGACAUACCAACCAGAUUAGAGAUGGAUAAAAAUUUAGAUUUACAUGAAGAGAAAGCUUUUCAGCAAGAAGAACAAAUAUUAGCAGAGCUUUUUGUUGAUGAAGAACUUAUAACGAUACCUUUGAAUAGGGCUGAUCUGCCGUCCAAUAAAGUUGAAGCUGAUUUUAUAUUUAAUCUUAUUGAGUUGGAGGGUGACGAUCAGUUCAUAAAUGACG
rnacentral:lncRNA from 1 species